CAGAUUGAACGCUGGCGGCAUGCUUUACACAUGCAAGUCGAACGGUAACAGGUCUCGGAUGCUGACGGAGUGGCGAACGGGUGAGUAAUGCAUCGGAACGUGCCAGUCUGGGGGAUAACGCAGCGAAAGAGUGGCUAGUACCGCAUACGAUCUCUGGAUGAAAGCGGGGGACCUUCGGGCCUCGCGCGAUUGGAGCGGCCGAUAUCAGAUUAGGUAGUUGGUGGGGUAAAGGCUCACCAAGCCAACGAUCUGUAGCUGGUCUGAGAGGACGACCAGGCCACACUGGAACUGAGACACGGUCCAGACUCCUACGGGAGGCAGCAGUGGGGAAUUUUGGACAAUGGACGAAAGUCUGAUCCAGCCAUUCCGCGUGCAGGAUGAAGGCCCUCGGGUUGUAAACUGCUUUUGUACGGAACGAAAAGGUCUGGGUUAAUACCCUGGGCUCAUGACGGUACCGUAAGAAUAAGCACCGGCUAACUACGUG
rnacentral:rRNA from 1 species